AUGGAUUUAAUUUUAGAGUCCAAUAAAGUAAUCGUGUCAAGAUCUGGACAAUUUAUAGGAAAAGGCUAUGAGUGCGGAGGCUUGUUCCGCUUUUCCCUUUCAGAUUUUUGCAAUAAGUCAAAAAACCAAAUUUGUGCUAGUGUUAAUGAUGAUGCAAGUAUUUGGCACUCUCGUUUAUGUCAUAUUAAUUUUGGUUUAAUGUCUCGGCUAUCCAGCAUGAGUUUAAUUCCGAACUUCACAGUUGCCAAAGGUUCUAAGUGCCAUAGUUGUGUGCAAUCGAAGCAACCUCGAAAGCCUCAUAAGGCUGCCGAGGAGAGAAACUUGGCACCUCUAGAACUCAUACAUUCUGAUCUUUGUGAGAUGAAUGGUGUGUUGACAAAAGGUGGAAAGAGAUAUUUCAUCACUUUGACUGAUGAUGCGACUAGAUUUUGCUAUGUUUAUUUGUUGCAAACUAAAGAUGAAGCAUUAGAGUACUUUAAAAUCUAUAAAGCUGAAGUUGAAAAUCAACUAGAAAGAAAGAUCAAGCGUCUUAGAGUUCCCAACAAUAAUAAGGAGAAAACCCCUUAUGAGGAGUGGGUUGGGAGAAAACCAUCACUUUCUUAUUUGCGCACUUGGGGAUGUUUGGCAAAGGUCAAUAUUCCUAUUCCUAAGAAACGCAAACUUGGACCAAAGACAGUGGAUUGUGUCUUUCUAGGGUAUGCUCAACGGAGCAUUGCUUAUAGGUUUUUAGUGGUAAAAUCUAAAGUACCUGAUAUGCAUGUUGAUACUAUAAUGGAAUCUCGUGAUGCAACAUUUUUUGAGAACAUAUUUCCUAUGAAAGAUAUGCAUAGCAUUGCUAGGUUUUCUUCUGAGAUAAUUCCUGAAUCUAGUACAACUGAUGAAUAUUUCGAACAAUCACAUGAGGAAGUCCUUGAGAAGGAUAACAAUGAAGUUCCUAUAAGUAACAAGAGACAAAGGAUUGCAAAAUCCUUUGGUGAUGAUUUCAUUGUAUACCUUGUGGACGACACACCCAAGACGAUUGCAGAAGCAUAUGCAUCUCCGGAUGUAGAUGAUUGGAAAGAAGCUGUUCAUAAUGAGAGGGACUCAAUUCUUUCUAAUGGAACUUGGGAACUAACUGAUAGACCAUAUGGUUGUAAACCUGUGGGCUGUAAGUGGGUGUUCAAAAAGAAGCUAAAGCCUGAUGGUACUAUUGAUAAGUACAAGGCGCGGCUAGUGGCCAAGGGCUACACUCAGAAAGAAGGCGAAGAUUACUUUGACACCUAUUCACCCGUUGCUAGAAUGACCACCAUUCGAGUGUUACUUUCCUUGGCUGCCUCUUAUGGUCUUAUCAUUCAUCAAAUGGAUGUAAAGACAGCUUUUCUAAAUGGAGAGUUGGAAGAGGAGAUCUAUAUGGAUCAGCCUGACGGGUUUGUGGUAAAGGGUGAAGAGAGAAAGGUGUGCAAGUUGUUAAAAUCUUUGUAUGGUCUGAAACAGGCACCUAAGCAAUGGCAUGAGAAGUUUGAAAGAACUCUGACUUCUGCAGGAUUUGUCAUUAACGAGGCUGAUAGGUGUGUUUACUAUCGCCAUGGUGGGGGCAAUAGUGUCAUAUUAUGUUUGUAUGUGGACGACAUACUGAUCUUUGGUACAAACAUUAAUGCAAUUAAUGAGGUCAAGUCUUUUCUAUCAAAGAGUUUUGACAUGAAAGAUCUGGGAGAAGCCGAUGUAAUUCUAAACAUCAAACUUGUUAAGGAUGAGAGUGGGAUUACAUUAAUGCAAUCUCACUAUGUUGAGAAGGUCUUGAACCGAUUCGGUUUUAUGGAUAGCAAGCCUUCUCCAACACCUUAUGAUCCCAGCGUGACACUCAGAAAGAACAAGAAAGAAACGAGAGAUCAAUUAAGAUACUCUCAAAUUGUCGGUUCACACAUGUACUUAGCUAGCGCUACAAGACCAGAUAUCUCUUUUGCUGUGAGCAAACGGAGUAGGUUCAUGUCCAACCCGGGUGAUGAUCAUUGGCAUGCACUAGAAAGGGUCUUGCGCUAUCUGAGAGGUACUAUGAGUUACGGAAUUACUUAUUCAGGGCAUCCUGUUGUGCUAGAAGGAUAUAGUGAUUCAAAUUGGAUCUCUGAUGUUGAUGUACUCUAUGCAACAAGUGGGUAUGUAUUUACACAUGGUGGUGGCGCAGUGUCAUGGAGGUCUUGCAAGCAAACCAUAUUGACAAGGUCAACUAUGGAAGCAGAAUUAACUGCUUUGGACACAGCUACUGUUGAGGCAGAAUGGCUGCGUGAGCUCUUGAUAGACUUGCCGGUUGUUGAAAAACCUGUUCCGGCUAUUCUUAUGAAUUGUGAUAACCAAACACGUGAAGAGACGUUUGAAGUCUGUCAGGAAGUUGAGAAACUCCGGAGUAAUAACUGUUACGUAUAUACAAACAGACAAAAACCUGGCAGAUCCCUUUACAAAGGGACUAUCACGAAAUGUGAUAGAUAUUGCAUCGAGGGAGAUGGGUAUGAGACCCAUAGCAGUCUUGAAAGAACACACCUAUAUGAGUUCUAA
rnacentral:rRNA from 1 species